CUAUUACUCCCUCUGUCCAAAAAUACUUGUCAUCGAAAUGGAUGUAUCUAGAUGUAUUUUAGUUCUAGAUACAUCCGUUUUGAUGACAAGUAAUUCCGGACGGAGGGAGUAUUAU
rnacentral:pre_miRNA from 1 species